AAUGAACGUUGGCGGCAUGGAUUAGGCAUGCAAGUCGGGGGAAUCCCAGCAAUGGGGGAACCGGCGUAAGGGGCAGUAAGGCAUGGGUACCUACCUUGGGGUUCGGGAUAGCCAUCAGAGAUGGUGGGUAAUACCGGAUGACGUCGUGAGACCAAAGAUUCAUCGCCCUUAGAGGGGCCCAUGUGAUAUUAGCUAGUUGGUGGGGUAACGGCCCACCAAGGCGAAGAUGUCUAGCGGGUGUGGGAGCACGACCCGCGCCACUGGCACUGAGACACUGGCGAGACACCUACGGGUGGCUGCAGUCGAGGAUAUUCGGCAAUGAGCGCAAGCUUGACCGAGCGAUGCCGCGUGAGCGAUGAAGGCCUUCGGGUUGUAAAGCUCUUUAGUGGGGGAGAAAAGCCGCAAGGUGUGAUCUAUCCCAAAAAUAAGCACGGGCUAAGUUCGUGCCAGCCGCCGCAGUAA
rnacentral:rRNA from 1 species